CCAUAAAUUGAAGAGUUUGAUCCUGGCUCAGAUUGAACGCUGGCGGCAGGCCUAACACAUGCAAGUCGAACGGUAACAGGAAGCAGCUUGCUGCUUUGCUGACGAGUGGCGGACGGGUGAGUAAUGUCUGGGAAACUGCCUGAUGGAGGGGGAUAACUACUGGAAACGGUGGCUAAUACCGCAUAACGUCGCAAGACCAAAGAGGGGGACCUUCGGGCCUCUUGCCAUCAGAUGUGCCCAGAUGGGAUUAGCUUGUUGGUGAGGUAACGGCUCACCAAGGCGACGAUCCCUAGCUGGUCUGAGAGGAUGACCAGCCACACUGGAACUGAGACACGGUCCAGACUCCUACGGGAGGCAGCAGUGGGGAAUAUUGCACAAUUGGGGGAAGCCUGAUGCAGCCAUGCCGCGUGUAUGAAGAAGGCCUUCGGGUUGUAAAGUACUUUCAGCGGGGAGGAAGGUGUUGUGGUUAAUAACCGCAGCAAUUGACGUUACCCGCAGAAGAAGCACCGGCUAACUCCGUGCCAGCAGCCGCGGUAAUACGGAGGGUGCAAGCGUUAAUCGGAAUUACUGGGCGUAAAGCGCACGCAGGCGGUCUGUCAAGUCGGAUGUGAAAUCCCCGGGCUCAACCUGGGAACUGCAUUCGAAACUGGCAGGCUUGAGUCUUGUAGAGGGGGGUAGAAUUCCAGGUGUAGCGGUGAAAUGCGUAGAGAUCUGGAGGAAUACCGGUGGGGCGAAGGCGGCCCCCUGGACAAAGACUGACGCUCAGGUGCGAAAGCGUGGGGAGCAAACAGGAUUAGAUACCCUGGUAGUCCACGCCGUAAACGAUGUCUACUUGGAGGUUGUGCCCUUGAGAGCGUGGCUUCCGGAGCUAACGCGUUAAGUAGACCGCCUGGGGAGUACGGCCGCAAGGUUAAAACUCAAAUGAAUUGACGGGGGCCCGCACAAGCGGUGGAGCAUGUGGUUUAAUUCGAUGCAACGCGAAGAACCUUACCUGGUCUUGACAUCCACGGAAGUUUUCAGAGAUGAGAAUGUGCCUUCGGGAACCGUGAGACAGUGCUGAUGGCUGUCGUCAGCUCGUGUUGUGAAAUGUUGGGUUAAGUUCCGCAACGAGCGCAACCCUUAUCCUUUUUGCCAGCGGUCCGGCCGGGAACUCAAAGGAGACUGCCAGUGAUAAACUGGAGGAAGGUGGGGAUGACACUU
rnacentral:rRNA from 1 species